rnacentral:rRNA from 1 species
UACAGAGGGUGCGAGCGUUAAUCGGAAUUACUGGGCGUAAAGCGCGCGUAGGUGGUUUUGCAAGUCGAGUGUGAAAGCCCCGGGCUCAACCUGGGAACUGCAUUCGAGACUGCAUUACUCGAGUAUCGGAGAGGGCAGUGGAAUUUCAGGUGUAGCGGUGAAAUGCGUAGAUAUCUGAAGGAACAUCAGUGGCGAAAGCGACUGCCUGGCCGAAUACUGACGCUCAUGUGCGAAAGCGUGGGGAGCAAACAGG